rnacentral:rRNA from 1 species
CCUACGGGUGGCAGCAGUAGGGAAUAUUGCUCAAUGGGCGAAACCCUGAAGCAGCCACGCCGCGUGGAUGAUGAAGGCCUUCGGAUUGUAAACUCCUUUUGUUAGAGAAGAUAAUGAUGGUAUCUAUCGAAUAAGCACUGGCUAACUCCGUGCCAGCAGCCGCGGUAAUACGGCGGGUGCAAGCGUUAAUCGGAAUCACUGGGCGUAAAGAGCGCGCAGGCGGGUUAGCAAGUCAGAUGUGAAAUCCUAUGGCUUAACCAUAGAACUGCAUUUGAAACUGGUAGUCUAGAGUAUGGUAGAGGGAGGUAGAAUUCUAGGUGUAGCGGUGAAAUGCGUAGAGAUCAGGAGGAAUACUGAUGGCGAAGGCGGCCCGCUGGAACAAGACUGACGCUGAGGUGCGAAAGCGUGGGGAGCAAACAGGAUUAGAUACCCCUGUAGUC